rnacentral:rRNA from 1 species
UACGGGGGGGGCAAGCGUUGUUCGGAAUUACUGGGCGUAAAGGGCUCGUAGGUGGCCAACUAAGUCACACGUGAAAUCCCUCGGCUUAACCGGGGAACUGCGUGUGAUACUGGAUGGCUUGAGUUUGGGAGAGGGAUGCGGAAUUCCAGGUGUAGCGGUGAAAUGCGUAGAUAUCUGGAGGAACACCGGUGGCGAAGGCGGCAUCCUGGACCAAUACUGACGCUGAGGCACGAAAGCGUGGGUAGCAAACAGG